GACGAACGCUGGCGGCGUGCUUAACACAUGCAAGUCGAACGAAGUGGCGAACGGGUGAGUAAUACGUGGGUAACCUGCCCUCCUUUUUGGGAUAAGCAUUGGAAACGGGGUCUAAUACCGACUACAGGGGGACGGGCUCGCGGCCUAUGAGCGGGUUGGUGGGGUGAUGGCCUACCAAGGCCGUGACGGGUAGCCGGCCUGAGAGGGUGAACGGCGACAUGGAGACUGGGCUAUUGCCCAGGCGACUCCGCAGGGCAGAAGUGGGGGCAAUUGGACAAUGGGCGAUAGCCUGAUGCAGCGACGGCGCGGGGGGGAUUAAGGCUUUAGGGUUGUAAACCUGUUUCGCUAUCGAACGGGUAGGUGGAGAAGAAGCGCCGGCUAACUACGUGCCAGCAGCCGCGGUAAUUC
rnacentral:rRNA from 1 species